UACGUAGGGAGCAAGCGUUGUCCGGAAUUAUUGGGCGUAAAGAGCUCGUAGGCGGUUUGUCGCGUCUGCUGUGAAAACUGGAGGCUCAACCUCCAGCCUGCAGUGGGUACGGGCAGACUAGAGUGCGGUAGGGGAGAUUGGAAUUCCUGGUGUAGCGGUGAAAUGCGCAGAUAUCAGGAAGAACACCCGUGGCGAAGGCGGCUCUCUGGGACGGUACUGACGCUGAGACGCGAAAGCGUGGGGAGCGAACAGG
rnacentral:rRNA from 1 species